rnacentral:lncRNA from 1 species
ACGUCAUUUUCCAUCUAAGGCAAAUAAAAAGUCUACAAAAAUGUUUAGAAACCCUACGAAGAUGCUUAAAAUCUGCAUGCAGCUUACUCAGCUCCACUAGACACAAACAAGAAACAUGUGGUCAACCAGACUAUUACUUCAAUAAUAAAGAUUUCCACAUAUGCACAUAACCUCAGAUUUUUCCGACAAUUGAACACUAAUCAAACUUCCAACACUUUACAACUAAAUGAUAUAUUGCUCAAUUGUCACAAAUGUAGGGAAAUGUAACAUAAACUUAGACUUUCCUAUAUGUAGAACCUGACAUGCAUUAGUUACCUGCAAUUUGUUCACAAUUACCCUUGAAAUCUUUAAGGCUUCUAAAAAAAUAAAUCUAGGCUCAAUCAAAUUAACCGUUUAAGACUUCUAUGGUGAUCAAUAAUCUGAACAUGAUAGUUCAAACUAAUCACGUCUAUCCCAAUUUAACUUUGAAUAAUAAAAACUAUGUUAUUAUCCAUCAUACAUGAAGUUUCAGUAUCAUCCCUGUAAAUAGCAUGAUGAUAUUCUUGAUCCAUUCUUCCAAGACAUGAAGGUGUGAUGCACUUCACUAUGCCUUCCUUGCCCUAUCAAGGUUAUUGCAAAAAUUAAUUGAGGCAUGAGUAGAUCCUUUACAAGAAAGGAUCCAGAUAAUGCUGAAGAAAGAAUUUUAAUGGUUUGACAUAAUAUUCUAUGUCAGCAUUUCUAUGAACAACUGAAUCACCAUAUCUUCAUCACAAAAAGUCCAGUCAUGACCUCUUCUUCUUGUGGUGGUAUAUUUGAUUAAUUUUCAUGAAGAAAGGGAAAAAAAAUCAACAAAUGAAAAAUUUACCUUCUCAAGUUAAGACCUGGAAAGAUUGCUAGGAGAGUAGGAAGUGAUAGACAGGAAGGAAUAGUUAUUAGGUACCUUCAACAUCUUAUUGGCAUUAAAAAUGUAUAGUCCUCUCUUCCUUAAUUUUAGAGUCCAACAAAUCCUAUAAUAUAAAUUGCUAAUAAUUAAUGAAUCACCCGCCUUGCAGUCCCUGCUUCUCUUCAUAGAUGUUAAAAUAAAAUAAAAUAAAAUAAAAAAAUAAAAAAAAGGAACAAAGGAUCCUUUCUCUCAUAACAAUUGAUUCAAACCAAACUUCAAGAAGACAUUUGCACAAGAUCAUGACUCCUCAUUUGGAUGAAGCAACUAAUGGAAACAAAUUUAGUCUCAUUCCUAACAACCAUAUGAACGAAGAAGUUUUACAGAAAAAUGCUCCACUCAACUACUUUCGGACAUUACCAAAAGAGCAAGGAGUAGAAUACAGAAGAAUUGAACACAAUGAAAGCC